rnacentral:misc_RNA from 1 species
GAUGAAGAACGUAGCGAAAUGCGAUAAGUAAUGUGAAUUGCAGAAUUCAGUGUAUCAUCGAAUCUUUGAACGCACAUUGCGCCCGCUGGUAUUCCGGCGGGCAUGCCUGUUCGAGCGUCAUUUCAACCCUCAAGCCCCCGGGUUUGGUGUUGGGGAUCGGCUCUGCCCUUCUGGGCGGUGCCGCCCCCGAAAUACAUUGGCGGUCUCGCUGCAGCCUCCAUUGCGUAGUAGCUAACACCUCGCAACUGGAACGCGGCGCGGCCAUGCCGUAAAACCCCAACUUCUGAAUGUUGACCUCGGAUCAGGUAGGAAUACCCGCUGAACUUAAGCAUAUCAAUAAGCGGAGGA